UACGUAGGGGGCAAGCGUUGUCCGGAUUUAUUGGGCGUAAAGCGCCCGCAGGCGGCCUGGCAAGUUUCAGGUGAAAUCUCCCGGCUUAACUGGGAGGGGUCCUGGAAAACUGUCAGGCUUGAGGCAGGGAGAGGGAUGUGGAAUUCCCGGUGUAGUGGUGAAAUGCGUAGAUAUCGGGAGGAACACCAGUGGCGAAGGCGGCAUCCUGGCCCUGUCCUGACGCUCAGGGGCGAAAGCGUGGGGAGCAAACCGG
rnacentral:rRNA from 1 species